rnacentral:rRNA from 1 species
GUGCCAGCAGCCGCGGUAAUACGGAGGGUGCAAGCGUUGUCCGGGAUUUAUUGGGUUUAAAGGGUGCGUAGGCGGCUGUUUAAGUCAGUGGUGAAAGACUCCGGCUCAACCGGAGCAGUGCCAUUGAUACUGGAUAGCUUGAGUAUUGGAGGGGUACAUGGAAUUGAUGGUGUAGCGGUGAAAUGCAUAGAUACCAUCAGGAACACCGAUAGCGAAGGCAUUGUACUGGCCAAUAACUGACGCUGAUGCACGAAAGCAUGGGUAGCGAACAGGAUUAGAUACCCUGGUAGUCCAUGCCGUAAACGAUGAUUACUCGCUGUUAUGCCCUUGUGGUGUAGCGGCCAAGCGAAAGCGUUAAGUAAUCCACCUGGGGAGUACGCUCGCAAGAGUGAAACUCAAAGGAAUUGACGG